rnacentral:rRNA from 1 species
GAUCCAGACAACCUCGGGAAACUGAGGCUCCCUUUGGAAUAGGGCUCUCAUCCUGGAGUGGAGAGAGCCUGAAAUGCUCCGGCGCUAUAGGAUGUGGCUGCGGCCGAUUAUGUAGACGGUGGGGUAACGGCCCACCGUGCCAGUAAUCGGUACGGGUUGUGAGAGCAAGAGCCCGGAGACGGUAUCUGAGACAAGAUACCGGGCCCUACGGGGCGCAGCAGGCGCGAAACCUUUACACUGCACGCCAGUGCGAUAAGGGGACUCCAAGUGCGAGGGCAUAUAGUCCUCGCUUUUUGCGACCGUAAGGUGGUCGCGGAAUAAGUGCUGGGCAAGACCGGUGCCAGCCGCCGCGGUAAUACCUUGCAGCACGAGUGAUGACCGCUGUUUUUUGGG